GUCUUUUUGAUUUUUAUUAAAAGUUUAACCUGCCCAUUGAAAAUUUUUAAAAGGCUGCAGUAUUUUGACUGUACAAAGGUAGCAUAAUCAUUAGUUUUUUAAUUGAAAACUUGUAUGAAUGGUUGAAUGAGAAAUUAACUUUUUUAAAAAAAUAAUUGAAUUUUACUUUUUAAUUAAAAGGUUAAAAUAAAUUUAAAAGACGAGAAGACCCUAUAGAGUUUUAUAAUUUUUAUUUAAUAUUUUAAAAAGAUAAAUUUAAAUUUUAUAAAAAAAAUUAUUUUGUUGGGGUGAUUAUAAAAUUUAAGAAACUUUUAUUUUUUUUUACAUUAAUAUAUGAUUUUAUGAACCAUUAUUUAAUGAUUAAAAAUUUAAAUUACCUUAGGGAUAACAGCGUAAUUUUUUUUUCAAGUUCAUAUUAAUAAAAAAUUUUGCGACCUCGAUGUUGGAUUAAGAUUUAAUUUUAGGUGCAGCAGUUUAAAUUUUAAGUCUGUUCGACUUUUAAAUUCUU
rnacentral:rRNA from 1 species